rnacentral:sRNA from 1 species
CCGUUGGUGACCAGCGGAGGGAUCAUUAGCGAGUUUAAACAACUCCCAACCCGUGCAUACAUACCGCAUUUCUUGCGCCCGUUGCCUCCUGGCGGGCGGCGCGCGCCUCCAGCUCCGGCUGGCGGCGCCCGCCCGCCGGGGGACCAGCGGUCGCACUUUGAACCUCUGCGUACACUGAGCAGUCUGAGCAAAACCAUGAAUCGUUAAAACUUUCAACAACGGAUCUCUUGGUUCUGGCAUCGAUGAAGAACGCAGCGAACUGCGAUAAGUAAUGUGAAUUGCAGAAUUCAGUGAACCAUCGAAUCUUUGAACGCACAUUGCGCCCGCCAGCAUUCUGGCGGGCAUGCCUGUCCGAGCGUCAUUUCCACCCUCACGCGCCCCUUUAGUGCGUGGUGUUGGGGCAUACUGCGGCUGCCGCAAGGCACCGCAGGCCCUGAAACCCAGUGGCGGGCCGGCAGAAGGCUCCGAGCGCAGUAAGCAUCACGCCCUCGCUCUGGACGCCCCUGCUGGCAGCUCGCCCUGCGGCGGAAACGCUUGCAGCAACCAUUUCUAAGGUUGACCUCGGAUCAGGUNGGAU